GUAUGAUAUAAUUUUUCCAUUAUAAUUUUCUAUGCCAAAUAUAGAUUUCAGUAUAUAAGAAUUUAUAAGCAUUGUUUGUUGUAAAAAGUAUUUUAGGCAUUAUUAAUAAUAGUUCACAGUUCUCUUUAAAUAGAGUCAUUUUUGUCUUGUUUUUCUUCCUCUUCAAAUCUCCUGAAAAUAAUCCAAAGUCCUCCCUGGUCAGUUUGACCAGGAACAGUCAUGUG